rnacentral:rRNA from 1 species
UCCUACGGGGCGGGCWGCAGUAGGGAAUCUUCCGCAAUGGGCGAAAGCCUGACGGAGCAAUGCCGCGUGAGUGAUGAAGGUUUUCGGAUCGUAAAGCUCUGUUGCCAGGGAAGAACGCUUGGGAGAGUAACUGCUCUCAAGGUGACGGUACCUGAGAAGAAAGCCCCGGCUAACUACGUGCCAGCAGCCGCGGUAAUACGUAGGGGGCAAGCGUUGUCCGGAAUUAUUGGGCGUAAAGCGCGCGCAGGCGGUCAUUUAAGUCUGGUGUUUAAUCCCGGGGCUCAACCCCGGAUCGCACUGGAAACUGGGUGACUUGAGUGCAGAAGAGGAGAGUGGAAUUCCACGUGUAGCGGUGAAAUGCGUAGAUAUGUGGAGGAACACCAGUGGCGAAGGCGACUCUCUGGGCUGUAACUGACGCUGAGGCGCGAAAGCGUGGGGAGCAAACAGGAUUAGAUACCCCURGUAGUCA